GUUGUUGCCUUAUGGGCCUCUAAACUUAGUAAAUUGUUUCAAUAAAUCCCUAAUACGAUUUUUUUUUCCCGUUCGAUCAGUAUUCAGUUUUCUCCCAAAACCCUUAACACUUUCUCCUCGUUCAUCCUCGUCGUUCUUUCAAGCAAGCGAAAUGACCAUUUGGUCUCUGAAUUGGAAGUAAGAAAAAUUGCGAUUGGCGUCUUGAAUUGGCGACAAGAACGGUUAUUUGAUCUAGCCAAUCCAAUAUCUGAAUUAGCAAGAUUGAAGUAGUCUCUUGUGUGAGGCAGAACGAGAAUCAGAAGACUCAUAAAUCACCUCAUGAAGACUGACUCAGAAAUCUCGAGAAGGUUCAAGGUUCAAGGAAGGGUUGUAUUGCUUGUGAACAGGGUAAUUGAAGACGGUAAGCUAACUACAACAACAAGUGUGCUCAACAACAUUGCCGUUAUUUUUCUUGAAGCCUGAAGGUGGAUGCAAAUAUGAAGAAGAGUUACAUGUAGCCUGUGGUGUCGUCAGUUAAAGCUAUUUUAGACCGACUUGGGUUGACAUUGGAAUUUUGUGGUUUGGUAUUGGCCAGUUAUAGUUUGGUUUGCUAGCUUAGUUUUUUGUACUUUUUGGGCUUGCAGGUUGUUGCAAGGCCUAGGGUGUUUUAUUUGGUUGAGCUUGUACCAAAAAAUAAGCUUAUAGGUGACCGUUCUUGAAAAAUGUAAUAAAUAAUACGUUAGAUUA